GAUGAACGCUGGCGGCGUGCUUAACACAUGCAAGUCGAACGUGAGAAUAGCAAUAUUUGAAAGUGGCAAACGGGUGAGUAAACACGUGGGAACCUGCCUCGAAGUGGGGGAUAACGAUUGGAAACGGUCGCUAAUACCGCACGGUUCUGCUCUGAUGGGAAUGGAGCAGAUAAAGAUUUAUCGCUUUGAGAGGGGCCCGCGGCCGAUUAGCUAGUUGGUAAGGUAAAGGCUUACCAAGGCGAUUAUCGGUAGCUGGUCUGAGAGGACGAUCAGCCACACGGGAACUGAGACACGGUCCCGACUCCUACGGGGGGCAGCAGUGAGGAAUAUUCGGCAAUGGGGGCAACCCUGACCGAGCAACGCCGCGUGGAGGAUGACGGUUUUCGGAUUGUAAACUCCUUUUCUCAGGGAAGAGUGAGGACGGUACCUGGGGAAUAAGUCACGGCUAACUACGUG
rnacentral:rRNA from 1 species